rnacentral:rRNA from 1 species
AGAGUUUGAUCCUGGCUCAGGAUGAACGCUGGCGGCGUGCCUAACACAUGCAAGUCGAACGGAUCUGUAUUGAAACCUAGUGAUAUACAGGUUAGUGGCGGACGGGUGAGUAACGCGUGGAUAACCUGCCGUAUACCGGGGGAUAACACUUAGAAAUAGGUGCUAAUACCGCAUGAGCGCACAGCUCCGCAUGGAGCGGUGUGAAAAACUCCGGUGGUAUACGAUGGAUCCGCGUCUGAUUAGCCAGUUGGCGGGGUAACGGGCCCACCAAAGCGACGAUCAGUAGCCGGCCUGAGAGGGUGAACGGCCACACUGGGACUGAGACACGGCCCAGACUCCUACGGGAGGCAGCAGUGGGGAAUAUUGCACAAUGGGGGAAACCCUGAUGCAGCGACGCCGCGUGAGUGAAGAAGUAUCUCGGUAUGUAAAGCUCUAUCAGCAGGAAAGAUAAUGACGGUACCUGACUAAGAAGCCCCGGCUAACUACGUG